rnacentral:rRNA from 1 species
GAUGAACGCUGGCGGCGUGCCUAAUACAUGCAAGUCGAGCGGACAGACGAGGAGCUUGCUGCUCUGACGUUAGCGGCGCACGGGUGAGUAACACGUGUAUCACCUACCUAUAAGUCUGGGAUCACUUCGGGAAACCGGCGCUAAUCCCGGAUAAUAUAUUGAACCGCAUGGUUCGAUAGUGAAAGACGGUUUUGCUGUCUCUUAUAGAUGGAUCCGCGCCGCAUUAGCUAGUUGGUAAGGUAACGGCUUAGCAAGGCAACGAUGCGUAGCCGACGUGAGAGGGGGGUCGGCCACACGGGAGGGGAGACACGGACAAGACGACUACGGGAGGGAGCAGACGGGUACGGGACGCAAUGGGCGAAAGCAUGACGCAGCAGCGCGGCGCGAGAGAUGAAGGUCUUCGGUGCGGAAUACUCUGUUAUGAGGGAAGAACAGAUGUGUAAGGAACUAUGCACGGCGUGACGGUACCUAAUCAGAAAGCCCCGGCUAACUACGUG